GGCCCAUUAGCUCAGUUGGUUAGAGCGUCGUGCUAAUAACGCGAACCUCUCGCAGGUUCGAGACCUGCAUGGGCCA